UACGUAGGGGCCAAGCGUUGUCCGGAUUUAUUGGGCGUAAAGAGCUCGUAGGCGGUUCGAUAAGUCGGACGUGAAAUCUCCACGCUCAACGUGGAGGGGCCGUUCGAUACUGUCGUGACUCGAGUCCGGUAGGGGAGUGUGGAAUUCCCGGUGUAGCGGUGAAAUGCGCAGAGAUCGGGAGGAACACCUGCGGCGAAGGCGGGUAGCUGGGCCGACACUGACGCUGAUGCGCGAAAGCCAGGGGAGCGAACGGG
rnacentral:rRNA from 1 species